ensembl:lncRNA
CGGCGGCAGGACGAGAUUGGAAACAAAAGGAAUUAAAUGGAGAAUAACAAAGAACGAAGAGCCGAUGAAGAGCAAACAUGGACAUGGAGAGAUGGACAGAAACCUUUAAACAUGACGAAUUACAAUACUGUCCUCACCUAAUGCUUUUAACACAUCCCUAUAAGAGGCCUUAAUCAGUCAGUUCAAACGAUGUUGGAAUGAAGGAGUGACAUCGUGCUUGUGUGCUGAGGCUGCUCGAACGUUUCAUAUCUGCUUCGUCAUUUAGGCUAGUUGACUUCCAACUUUAUAUAAAAAGUACAGGGACAAUAAGUAAAAGGUAUUUUCUGUCUCUCUGUAAUUUUAUGUUGGCACUCGCAAGCCAGUAAUCCAGAUUUUUCCUCCACUUCCUUUUAUCAGUGUGGAGUUAAUAAGAGCCUGCAGUGUAAUAUGUCCCUGUCUCAUUCCACUGCUGUGCGCCCUGCUUGACUGCACGGUAAUAUAAUUGUUUCAUGGACACAUGCUUGCAAACAGUCACAUACUGUAAAUACAAAGCCAUGUACACAUACACAACAUGCCUUAACCCAAACGCACAGUCAGAGCCGG